CCUGCAGGCGUGUCCAAUUUGCUCGCCCGUUCACCCCGUGUUUUUUCGUUGACCGCGUGGUCAACCGAUCUGAUUUUGGUUCUUUAUACAAUUUUUUUUUCUUACCGUUGUGUAAGCGACCAUCGUCGUAAGUUCCGAGACAGUCGGGGCCUGACGUGUGCGUUACACUCCGUCGCUUAACAUUUAAGUUAUUGUACCAUUAUAGUUGUAUAAAUAUAUACGUGCCAUACGUCAAAAGGCUGUCGCCUUACCAGCCCGGAUUCCAGCGUGGUCUUGCCGAGUAGCAGUACAGAUAAUAGACGAUAUAAGACGGUGGAUCCCGUUGAUCUUUUAGUGGAAAAGUUUAGCCUGAUGAUGUAAUUAAGUAACAAAAGGAAGAUUUCACUACUCACUAAACAAUAAAAGAAAAAUUAAGGAGAAUACCAAAGAGCAUUUUAAAUUUGGCCUGAUGUCACUAAAUAACAAAAGAAAGAUGGAGGAGAACUUAAUAAAAGGAGGAUGAAAGAAGAUUCCGAUGAACAUUUCGAGACUUUUCACAAAACACGUGGCCUGAGACCGGGAUAUAAAAGAAUGAGAG